rnacentral:miRNA from 1 species
CUUGGGAUUCAGUCUAGGACUU